rnacentral:SRP_RNA from 1 species
UUGUGGCUGCACCGUGCCAAGUACGAAGAGGCGGUGCAUUGCGUUCAUCACGG